GAAAACCACCAUCAACUGGACCAGGACUACAUAAACCCUUUGGCUGAAGAUUAUUAUUGCCAACCUCGGGAACAUCCCAAAUCCACAGAUGAUGAGGAUACAAAUUCGUAUGAAAAUGUGGAGUUAAAUAAAGUAGAGAGCCAGACUUCCGUUGACUCUACAGCGAGCUACGAGAACUGCGAGUAUGCUGUGAAGUGGAGGACUGAAGAGGAAGCAAGAGGCAAGUCAGAUGAAAAUGAUGAUGAUGAUGAUGAUGAUGAACCAGAUUAUGUCAACACUGUUCCCUGCCCUUCGCUGUAAAGCAGACGUAGAAAAACAGUAUUCCAGACAAUGACAGCUAUUGUCCUGUGAAUUCAGAUGGAUUAUUUGAGGAGAGAAUUAUUCUGCAGACCUCUGGAGAAUUCCUUACAACUACUCAGUACACAAAGCUCAUUUGUGUGUUCAGUUCUGCCAAGAACACUUUCAAGUCUCAAAUGUCACAGACAUUUAGCUACCAGGAAUCCAUUAAUUUAUUGUUGCAGGAGAAUCCUAUUCAGACAGUUCCCCAGACAAACUGGUUAAUUCCACUCCAUAUAAGAUCGUUUUCUCUGAAUUAUAAGACCUCAAUACUGAUUCUUUGUACCUGCUCUGCUGUGUAUCAUUCCGUUGUCACCGGCAAACAUCUAGGGCUGACUUCAGUUCCUAUUGUGAAUGCUGCAAAAGACUUAUCAUCAUUUCUCUUCCUCAGUUAGCUAUUAUAGGAUUUUAAAUUAUUGUAUCUAUUUUCAAAUUUAACAUUCAUGUAAAUUCUAAGCCAGUCUCAAACUUUCCAUAGACUUAAGUUUCUGAACUGUGUAAGACACUGCUGAUAAAAAUUAUUUUGAUGUUGCAUUGUAUUAAACUGUGCUUUGUAGGUCAUUCUGUACACCACCCAAGUCUUCUACACAAUCACAUGACGUAAUUCUAUUAUUUUAAGCUAUUAUGGAUCACGUAGGAAAAUUUUAUACUUCAUCAAGUGAUUGCCAUGUUAACUUUUGUUCAUAACUUCAAACUAUAUAUUAAAUAAUUAAGAACUUUUGAUUGGAUGACUUGGUCUGUUAGUGGGGUGAUUUAAACUUACGGUGUUGCAGACACACAAGCAAUCAACUUUGGGUCAUGAGUUCUUUCUAUCUGCAUCAGAACUGGCCAUUUGGAUGAGUCAUCUGUCGGUGAUCUUGGCUUAGCUUUUCUCCCUUCAUUGUUAUAACCUGACCUGUUGGUCAGAUCCAACAGGCCCAAUAUUAGCAACAAAUAAAAGAUAAAGCAACAUCAUAUACAUUGAUUGCCACAUUAACUCAUUUCAUUUCACUCUAUAACCUUGGUUCUAUCCUUCCCUUCGACUAGAAACUAACCUGCUUUCUCCCUUUCACAGGUCUCACUCCUGAAAUCUUAACAUUGUUUCUCUUUCCACAGAUGCUAUCUGACCUGCUGAACAUUCCCAGCAUUUUCUGCCUUUAUUUCUCAUUUCCAGUAAUCUCAGUUUUCCGUUUCAUUUUUACUUAACUAGCCAGCUUGGGUAAAGUGCAUGUGAUCUUGAAACAGAUCUUUCAUGAGUAAUGUGUGGCACACAAAACAGGAGGUUAGAUUCAACUAAAUAAAAUAAACAGAGCUUUUACUUUGUGAAAGUUAUUUUGAUCAAACUGUUGCAGUAAAUGUAGCAUUCAAAUAAUGCACACAUACUAUCAGACACUGAAGAAAGGUCAUGUGAGUUAGAAACAGGAGUAGUCACUUGGCCUUGACAUUCUCCACUAUUCCAAAAGAUUGUGGUUGUUCUGAUUGGACCCUCAAUCCCUCGUUCCUACCUAUCCUUGGUAAACAUCCAUAGAUUCGGGCCCAAAAUUCUUGGUGUAGCCGCAAAAGAGGUAGAACCUGUGUGCUGCAUCAGAGCGAUGCACAUUGCUGAGAAUUUGCAAGUGUAGGGCUGGAGAAUAGUAAGGGGCACUAAAUUCUCAACUCAAAAUGCGCCAAACAGACCGAAUACUGAAUCAAUCUAACUUAGCCAAAUCCAGUAAAGCUCCACACAUUCACAAAGAAACUACAUCUACACCAGUUUAUUUCUAAAAACUGAUUUACAAAACUCACUUUUUUAAGCUUAAAAGGAAAGAUUUCAUAAUAAAUAAGAAACCAAGUUAAUAUCUUUUCUAAGCAGCAAUGCUCUACAAUAGAGCGAACUAGAUCAUCUUAAAAUAUAUUGCAAAGUGGAAACAGUAUAAUUUUAGAGAUACAUUACCUGGGUUAUGUAUUAAAAUUAUUUAUAUUUUGUUGCUGUAGUCAUUUUACAUUUUGCUUAAACUAAUACAUUACUCAGCCAGACAAAAUCCCUUCACACAAUGGUUAUACACUCCCACAAUACCGAACCACCUAUGCAAAACAUCAGAUAAAUGGCUUGGCUUUGGUAUAUUGAAUCUCAACUCUGUCAGAUUCUCUUCUGACUGCUGAUCCUGCUGUUUGUUUUAGUGAAUAAAGUAACUUUGGUGGGUACAUACAAAACCAUCUAGAACUAAUUUUGAAUGAGGUUAAAUUGAAAUUAAUUGAAGAUGAAUAGAAAAAAAAUACCUGGCUUGCAUUCUGCCCAGUUUCCUAAAAUGGAAGUACUUGACCAUUGCUCCAGCUGUCAUAUUAUAAAUUCAGUUACGCUACCAUUUACUAAAUAUUGCAACUGCCUGAAGCUGAACCAUGUCACUCCAAAAACAUAGAAGUGGAAUUAUUAAAUAUAAAUCUAUUCCCAUAAAAUUGUCAAAUAACUAAAGUAAUAAACUAAAAUGUAUCAUACUAACAGGCCAUAUUCAAGCAAAUUUUUAUUACUUUGGUCUAUUGCAGAAUGUCCCCUCCCAUUUUUCACACAAGUAAUCCUAAAUACAAAGAGACUACACUAUCAUGCGAUGAUACAGGCUACAUUUGGGCUCAAGAGGAGCAACCAAACAAAGACUUAAAGGAUGGGAAACAUAAUUCAGUGGUUGAGAAGUACUAUGACACAGCUGCAAUUAAAUUCCCAAAUGAGUCUUCCAAGUUUUCCACGUAAUCCAAAGAAAGAAUACAUCAUCUGCAAGAAUCUGUAUAUCCAAAAAUGUUCUGUUCUUAUCCUAGAAAACAAAUAUGUUUGGAUUUCCAACAUCAACUUUAUUCACAAUUGUCAUUGUGUGCAUGUGUCUGUACUCAGUUAUGACCAAGUUUUUCUACUAUCAUCCCAGAUCAUUUUUCUUCAGAAUCGUGUAACUGCUUAUGUCAACAAACACAUUAAA